GACAGAGGGGGCAAGCGUUGCUCGGAAUUAUUGGGCGUAAAGAGCUUGUAGGCGGUCUGUCGCGUCUGCUGUGAAAAUCCGGGGCUCAACCCCGGACUUGCAGUGGGUACGGGCAGACUAGAGUGUGGUAGGGGAGACUGGAAUUCCUGGUGUAGCGGUGAAAUGCGCAGAUAUCAGGAGGAACACCGAUGGCGAAGGCAGGUCUCUGGGCCACUACUGACGCUGAGAAGCGAAAGCAUGGGGAGCGAACAGG
rnacentral:rRNA from 1 species